GAUGAACGCUGGCGGCGUGCCUAAUACAUGCAAGUCGAGCGAACAGAUGAGAAGCUUGCUUCUCUGAUGUUAGCGGCGGACGGGUGAGUAACACGUGGGUAACCUACCUAUAAGACUGGGAUAACUCCGGGAAACCGGGGCUAAUACCGGAUAAUAUUUUGAACCGCAUGGUUCAAUAGUGAAAGACGGUUUCGGCUGUCACUUACAGAUGGACCCGCGCCGUAUUAGCUAGUUGGUAAGGUAAUGGCUAACCAAGGCGAUGAUACGUAGCCGACCUGAGAGGGUGAUCGGCCACACUGGAACUGAGACACGGUCCAGACUCCUACGGGAGGCAGCAGUAGGGAAUCUUCCGCAAUGGGCGAAAGCCUGACGGAGCAACGCCGCGUGAGUGAUGAAGGUCUUCGGAUCGUAAAACUCUGUUGUUAGGGAAGAACAAAUUUGUUAGUGACUGAACAAGUCUUGACGGUACCUAACCAGAAAGCCACGGCUAACUACGUGCCAGCAGCCGCUGUAA
rnacentral:rRNA from 1 species